AAAAAGCCAAUAACAAUGGUGACCGACGUACAGCUGGCCAUCUUUGCCAACAUGCUCGGCGUGUCGCUGUUCCUGCUGGUUGUCUUGUACCACUACGUGGCCGUCAACAACCCCAAGAAGCAGGACUAGAACCGGACCUGGGAGAUAUUGGAAUCACCACCCAGGAAUCAACAACAUUCCCUCCCCACCCUAAAAAUGAUUUCCCAAAGAUCGUGCAGUAGUUUCUUUAAAUAAAAUGGAUGCAGCACUCUUGAAAUUACCAAGAUAUUCGGACGGGACGACGGAACCAUUAAAUGUUUUGUUGCAAGUGCACAAAAGGAUCGCAAGAAACGUGGCGAGAGAAAAACAUGCAAAUGAACUACCAAAUAUUUGAGAAAAAUCAAAUGUGAAGUUACCAGGAACACAUUAUCCUCCAGUGCUGUCAUAUUCCAGAACUGUAAUCUACCUGGGGUGUCCAGAAGUACAGUACAUGGCGUUCAGUGCACAGAGACAUGGCCAAGGCAAGACAGGCUGAAACUCGACCACCACUGAACAAGACACAAGUGGAAAGGCUACGACUUGGCCAAAAAAUAUCUGAAGAAAGAUUUUUCGCAAGUUUUAUGGACUGAUGAGACGAGAGUGACUUGAUGGACCAGACAGAUGCGUCAGUAAGGUGGAGGAGGGGUACUGGUAAUUAUUAAGAGAUGAGCUUGUCGGUCCUUUUCAGGUUGAAGAUGGACUCAAACUCAACUCCCAAACCUGCUGCCAUGUUUUUUCACACAGUUGUACAGGAAAAAGUGUGCAUCUUUCAAGAACACCAUGAUUUUUAUGCAGGAUAAUGCUCCAUCUCAUGCAUCCAAGUACUCCACUGAGUGGCUAGCUAGUAAAGGUCUUGAAAAAUAAUGACAUGACCUCCAUGCUUACCUGACCUAAACCCUAUGGAGUACUUGUGCACCCUUUAAACGUAAGAUUUACAGUAAAGAAAUAAGGUACACCUCUCUGAACAGUGUCUGGGAGGCUUUGGUUGCUGCCGCACAAGAAGUUGAUGGUCAAAAUGAUCAAGAAACCGACAGACUCUAUGGAUGGGUGAUUUUCUGUGUUAUUGAAAAGAAAGGUGGCUGUACAGGAUGUAUACAAAAAAAAAAAGUAGACUCUCCAAAAAGUAGCCACGAAACUCAUAAAUGAGUAUUUUCAUGACAUUUCAUGAAAUUAUUUUUCAUUAAGGGCAUCAUCCUUUGGUCCAUACCUAAAUUUAUUGCAUAAUUGCAUGCAUGACCGAACACAGGCCCGUUUUCUGGUGGGCAAAAAAAAAAAAAUUCCUCCAAAAAAUUUAAGUGUUAAAAGUUAAGAAAAAGUCACACUGUGAAGCAAAAUGCAAAUUUUAGUUCUACGCUGCGAUACCCAGAUUAUUCCUACAAGAUUGGUUUAAUUGUUGGAAUGUACUUUUUCCGCUGCGCUUUCGUCUUCAAGGGAAUGGUCGGUUGGCGCGUGCUCGGUGGGCCCAAGAGAGCGCUCCACCACACCGCCGGAGAACGAUAUUGUUUUGAUCCGCCUGAUGGAACGGCCCCCACGGUCACCCAAUUUGACACUGCUGGACUUUUUUCUGUGGGGCCAUCUCAAAUCAAAAGUGUAGUAUGUGACACCAACACAUGACCUCGAUGACCUUGAACAGCGAAUCAGAGUUGCAGUUACGGGAAUGAACAAAAAUUCUCAUUUUGCAUCACAUUUGAUGACUUUUCUUAAAUUUUAACCCUUUAAUUUUGUGGAUUUUUUUAAUUUUUUUUGCCCACCGGCCUGUAUUCAGUCAUGCAUACAAUUAUGCAAUUCAUUUUAGUAUGGACUAAGGGAUGAUGUCCAUACCAACAUAUGCAAAUAAAGACAUUUCAUGACAAUAUUCAAUUGUAAAUAGUGGCUUUUUUUUUUUUUUUUUGGAGACUUUUUUUGAUAUACCCUGUAUUGGUCACCGAUUUAUUUUUGGAAAUGCCAUAGACAUAUUUGUAAAGUUUGUGUUUAUCAUUCUGACUUUAAAAAAGUGAAAAUAAAAGUAGUGAGAUGGGAAUAUUUUUGUUUUUC